rnacentral:rRNA from 1 species
UACGUAGGGUGCAGGCGUUAAUCGGAAUACUGGGCGUAAAGCGUGCGCAGGCGGUUUGCUAAGACAGGUGUGAAAUCCCCGGGCUUAACCUGGGAACUGCGCUUGUAACUGGCAAGCUAGAGUGUGGCAGAGGGGGGGUGGAAUUCCAGGUGUAGCAGUGAAAUGCGUAGAUAUCUGGAGGAAUACCGGUGGCGAAGGCGGCGAUCCUAGGACCGGCAUUGACGCUGAACAGGCGAAAGCCAG